rnacentral:rRNA from 1 species
GCAGCCGCCGCGGGAAAACAGAGGGUGCGAGCGUUAAUCGGAUUUACUGGGCGUAAAGCGUGCGUAGGCGGCUUCUUAAGUCGGAUGUGAAAUCCCUGAGCUUAACUUAGGAAUUGCAUUCGAUACUGGGAAGCUAGAGUAUGGGAGAGGAUGGUAGAAUUCCAGGUGUAGCGGUGAAAUGCGUAGAGAUCUGGAGGAAUACCGAUGGCGAAGGCAGCCAUCUGGCCUAAUACUGACGCUGAGGUACGAAAGCAUGGGGAGCAAACAGGAUUAGAUACCCGGGUAGUCCCUGUCUCUUAUAC